UCACCCAGCAUUUCCCCACCUCCUUAGACUGAGAAGAAUUGGCAAUUGAUUUCCCCCAUCACUACCGGCCAAUCUUCUCUGUUUGGUUCCAAUUGCUCUGUGUCUCGAAAAUAAGUGUGAGGAAAAUAAGGAGCGCUUCACGGAUUUGCGUGUCAUCCUUUCGCUAUUUGAAGGGCAUUCUUCUCUGUUCCAAAUGUUCUUAAUUUUUCCAAAUGUCUCCUCCAGUCAGAGCUUCAGCUUGUUUUAAAUAUGAGAAAGAGAGCAAAAUCCACCAAUGGAAGCCUAGCUUGUUCCAAAUGUUUUUACCCAAUCAUCGUCCUACAAAGUUCUAGUAACGUCAACACAUCACAAAAAUCUUCAUCUGGCAGCCAUUGAUUGAUCAUACCGAGUAUCUGAGGAGACCUAUCAAGCAAACAUGGAAACUCCAAAGUUCCGGUUCACGCCCUCACAGGAGUUGGUCCUCAAGGCCACACCUCAGGCAGUGAAGGUGGCCGCUGACGGCCCCCCUGCUUC